CCUACGGGAGGCAGCAGUGGGGAAUCUUCCGCAAUGGACGAAAGUCUGACGGAGCAACGCCGCGUGUAUGAUGAAGGUCUUCGGAUUGUAAAGUACUGUCUUUGGGGAAGAAUGACGGAUUUGAGAAUAUUGAGUUCGUAUGACGGUACCCAAGGAGGAAGCCCCGGCUAACUACGUGCCAGCAGCCGCGGUAAUACGUAGGGGGCAAGCGUUGUCCGGAAUUAUUGGGCGUAAAGGGCGCGUAGGCGGAUGCUUAAGUCCGGUGUGAAAGAUCAGGGCUCAACCCUGAGAGUGCAUCGGAAACUGGGUAUCUUGAGGACAGGAGAGGAAAGUGGAAUUCCACGUGUAGCGGUGAAAUGCGUAGAUAUGUGGAGGAACACCAGUGGCGAAGGCGACUUUCUGGACUGUAACUGACGCUGAGGCGCGAAAGCGUGGGGAGCAAACAGGAUUAGAUACCCUGGUAGUCCACGCCGUAAACGAUGAGUGCUAGGUGUAGAGGGUAUCGACCCCUUCUGUGCCGCAGUUAACACAAUAAGCACUCCGCCUGGGGAGUACGGCCGCAAGGUUGAAACUCAAAAGCUGAAUUGACGG
rnacentral:rRNA from 1 species